UACAGAGGUCUCAAGCGUUGUUCGGAUUCAUUGGGCGUAAAGGGUGCGUAGGUGGCGCCGUAAGUCAGGUGUGAAAUCUCGGGGCUCAACCCCGAAACUGCACUUGAUACUGCGGUGCUCGAGUACUGGAGAGGAGAUUGGAAUUUACGGUGUAGCAGUGAAAUGCGUAGAUAUCGGGAGGAACACCUGUGGCGAAAGCGGCUCACUGGACCAUAACUGACGCUGAUGCACGAAAGCUGGGGGAGCAAACAGG
rnacentral:rRNA from 1 species